rnacentral:rRNA from 1 species
GACGAACGCUGGCGGCGUGCUUAACACAUGCAAGUCGAGCGGUAAGGCCCUUUCGGGGGUACACGAGCGGCGAACGGGUGAGUAACACGUGGGUGACCUGCCCUCAGCUCUGGGAUAAGCCUGGGAAACCGGGUCUAAUACCGGAUAUGACUCCAUGACGCAUGUUGUGGGGUGGAAAGCCUUGUGCGGCUGAGGAUGGGCCCGCGGCCUAUCAGCUUGUUGGUGGGGUGAUGGCCUACCAAGGCGACGACGGGUAGCCGGCCUGAGAGGGCGACCGGCCACACUGGGACUGAGACACGGCCCAGACUCCUACGGGAGGCAGCAGUGGGGAAUCUUGCGCAAUGGGCGAAAGCCUGAUGGAGCGACGCCGCGUGCAGGAU